rnacentral:rRNA from 1 species
AAUACGAAGGGGGCUAGCGUUGCUCGGAAUUACUGGGCGUAAAGGGCGCGUAGGCGGACAGUUUAGUCAGAGGUAAAAGCCCAGGGCUCAACCUUGGAAUUGCCUUUGAUACUGGCUGUCUUGAGUUCGGGAGAGGUGAGUGGAAUGCCGAGUGUAGAGGUGAAAUUCGUAGAUAUUCGGCGGAACACCAGUGGCGAAGGCGACUCACUGGCCCGAUACUGACGCUGAGGCGCGAAAGCGUGGGGAGCAAACAGG